rnacentral:rRNA from 1 species
CGGACGGGUGAGUAACGCGUGGAAAACCUGCCGUAUACUGGGGGAUAACACUUAGAAAUAGGUGCUAAUACCGCAUAAGCGCACAGCUUCGCAUGAAGCGGUGUGAAAAACUCUGGUGGUAUACGAUGGUUCCGCGUCUGAUUAGCUAGUUGGUGGGGUAAUGGCCUACCAAGGCAACGAUCAGUAGCCGGCCUGAGAGGGUGAACGGCCACAUUGGGACUGAGACACGGCCCCAAGCUCCUACGGAAGGCAGCAG